rnacentral:rRNA from 1 species
CACAUACUGUGAGCUCGAUGAGUAGGGCGGGACACGUGGUAUCCUGUCUGAAUAUGGGGGGACCAUCCUCCAAGGCUAAAUACUCCUGACUGACCGAUAGUGAACCAGUACCGUGAGGGAAAGGCGAAAAGAACCCCGGCGAGGGGAGUGAAAAAGAACCUGAAACCGUGUACGUACAAGCAGUGGGAGCACGCUUAGGCGUGUGACUGCGUACCUUUUGUAUAAUGGGUCAGCGACUUAUAUUCUGUAGCAAGGUUAACCGAAUAGGGGAGCCGAAGGGAAACCGAGUCUUAACUGGGCGUUAAGUUGCAGGGUAUAGACCCGAAACCCGGUGAUCUAGCCAUGGGCAGGUUGAAGGUUGGGUAACACUAACUGGAGGACCGAACCGACUAAUGUUGAAAAAUUAGCGGAUGACUUGUGGCUGGGGGUGAAAGGCCAAUCAAACCGGGAGAUAGCUGGUUCUCCCCGAAAGCUAUUUAGGUAGCGCCUCGUGAAUUCAUCUCCGGGGGUAGAGCACUGUUUCGGCAAGGGGGUCAUCCCGACUUACCAACCCGAUGCAAACUGCGAAUACCGGAGAAUGUUAUCACGGGAGACACACGGCGGGUGCUAACGUCCGUCGUGAAGAGGGAAACAACCCAGACCGCCAGCUAAGGUCCCAAAGUCAUGGUUAAGUGGGAAACGAUGUGGGAAGGCCCAGACAGCCAGGAUGUUGGCUUAGAAGCAGCCAUCAUUUAAAGAAAGCGUAAUAGCUCACUGGUCGAGUCGGCCUGCGCGGAAGAUGUAACGGGGCUAAACCAUGCACCGAAGCUGCGGCAGCGACGCUUAUGCGUUGUUGGGUAGGGGAGCGUUCUGUAAGCCUGUGAAGGUGUGCUGUGAGGUAUGCUGGAGGUAUCAGAAGUGCGAAUGCUGACAUAAGUAACGAUAAAGCGGGUGAAAAGCCCGCUCGCCGGAAGACCAAGGGUUCCUGUCCAACGUUAAUCGGGGCAGGGUGAGUCGACCCCUAAGGCGAGGCCGAAAGGCGUAGUCGAUGGGAAACAGGUUAAUAUUCCUGUACUUGGUGUUACUGCGAAGGGGGGACGGAGAAGGCUAUGUUGGCCGGGCGACGGUUGUCCCGGUUUAAGCGUGUAGGCUGGUUUUCCAGGCAAAUCCGGAAAAUCAAGGCCGAGGCGUGAUGAUGAGGCACUACGGUGCUGAAGCAACAAAUGCCCUGCUUCCAGGAAAAGCCUCUAAGCAUCAGGUAACAUCAAAUCGUACCCCAAACCGACACAGGUGGUCAGGUAGAGAAUACCAAGGCGCUUGAGAGAACUCGGGUGAAGGAACUAGGCAAAAUGGUGCCGUAACUUCGGGAGAAGGCACGCUGAUACGUAGGUGAAGCGACUUGCUCGUGGAGCUGAAAUCAGUCGAAGAUACCAGCUGGCUGCAACUGUUUAUUAAAAACACAGCACUGUGCAAACACGAAAGUGGACGUAUACGGUGUGACGCCUGCCCGGUGCCGGAAGGUUAAUUGAUGGGGUUAGCGCAAGCGAAGCUCUUGAUCGAAGCCCCGGUAAACGGCGGCCGUAACUAUAACGGUCCUAAGGUAGCGAAAUUCCUUGUCGGGUAAGUUCCGACCUGCACGAAUGGCGUAAUGAUGGCCAGGCUGUCUCCACCCGAGACUCAGUGAAAUUGAACUCGCUGUGAAGAUGCAGUGUACCCGCGGCAAGACGGAAAGACCCCGUGAACCUUUACUAUAGCUUGACACUGAACAUUGAGCCUUGAUGUGUAGGAUAGGUGGGAGGCUUUGAAGUGUGGACGCCAGUCUGCAUGGAGCCGACCUUGAAAUACCACCCUUUAAUGUUUGAUGUUCUAACGUGGACCCGUAAUCCGGGUUGCGGACAGUGUCUGGUGGGUAGUUUGACUGGGGCGGUCUCCUCCUAAAGAGUAACGGAGGAGCACGAAGGUUGGCUAAUCCUGGUCGGACAUCAGGAGGUUAGUGCAAUGGCAUAAGCCAGCUUGACUGCGAGCGUGACGGCGCGAGCAGGUGCGAAAGCAGGUCAUAGUGAUCCGGUGGUUCUGAAUGGAAGGGCCAUCGCUCAACGGAUAAAAGGUACUCCGGGGA